rnacentral:rRNA from 1 species
UCAGACGUUUACGGUAUUCAACCAGAAAGCCACGGCUAACUACGUGCCAGCAGCCGCGGUAAUACGUAGGUGGCAAGCGUUAUCCGGAUUUAUUGGGCGUAAAGCGAGCGCAGGCGGUUUUUUAAGUCUGAUGUGAAAGCCCUCGGCUUAACCGAGGAAGUGCAUCGGAAACUGGGAAACUUGAAUGCUGAAGAGGACAGUGGAACUCCAUGUGUAGCGGUGAAAUGCGUAGAUAUAUGGAAGAACACCAGUGGCGAAGGCGGCUGUCUGGUCAGUUAUUGACGCUGAGGCUCGAAAGCAUGGGUAGCGAACAGGAUUAGAUACCCUGGUA